AUGGAUCUACACCCACAGGUGCUUUGCUGGAACGUCCGCGGUUUGAACAAUCCGGCAAAACGUAAGGCGGUGCGGAAAUUCGUGAGCACACUAGAGGUCAACUUAAUUUGCUUUCAAGAAACUAAGAUGGAUAUAAUAGACAUUUUCAUAGUUAUGCAAUGUUUGGGGCCAUCUUUUGAUGGCUUUGCUUACUUGUCGGCGGAGGAAACU
rnacentral:rRNA from 1 species